rnacentral:misc_RNA from 1 species
GAAAGCCUUCUUCCUUUCUUCCAUUUAUCGAACCAAAAGAAAAGAAAAAACCCAACAACAUUCUUCGCUUACUAGCUACGCAUAUAUACGGAGAAUCAGUUUGUUCUCUCAUCAAAACCAAAAUCCAACCUGAAAAAACCACCACUUUAAACAACCCCUUUUUUCUGCUUCUUUCUCCCUCCAGAUUCAUUGGUUUUUUUCCCAUUUUCUGCUCUCAAUUUU